UGGACGGAACUGGAGGCUUCUUCAACAGCGACAAAAGGCUUCUGAUUCAACGAACGUGUUGUUUUGCUAGCGAACAUAAAGUUGAGUCUUUGAAGCUCUUUAGACCAAUCGUGUGUAUAUUACUCUUAGUGUUUUGAAUAUAAUUAUGUUUACCCAUCUACUAGUUCAUUUUAACGUCAUUUGCUCGUUAAAUUAGCAAAUGUGUUACUAAAUUGAUACUGCAUUAGGCUAAUCGACCGGAGCAUGAGCUCACAAAGCUCGACCGAGAAAGAAGCUCUGGUGAAAGGAGAGGAAGAAGCUUUCAGGAUGAAAAGGGAGGAAGAGGACGCUAUCACAUUGAAAGAAGAAGAGGAUGAUAUUACAGUGAAAGAGGAAGAUGGGAAAGAGGUUGUCAAAGUGGAAGGGGAGGAGGUAGAAGCUUUCAGAAUCAAAAACGAGGAAGAUGCCAUAACAUUGAAAGAAGAGAAUGUAGUGAAAGAAGAGGAAGAACCUUUUAGAGUAAAAGAGGAAGAGGAGGCUAUCUCAAUAAAAAGGAGGAAGACGUUUUGGGAGUGAAAGCGGAGGAGGCUGAAGAUCAGACUACCACCAGAGAGAGACGUGACUAUCGUGGAUCCUCUGGGGAGCAUCAACAACAUCCUGAUGCUGACGAGGAAGAGAAGAGUCUCUCCAGAUCAGAACACCAGAUGGACAACGCUAGCCCUUCCUCCCUCCCGGAGUCCCCGUGUCGUACCUCUUCCAGUAGCGCCUUACUGCUGGGUAUGAAGAGGUUGUCUGUGCUGCUGGUGGACUGCAGGAAAACAACGGGGCUGAGUGGAACUGUGAGAGGAGGAGAAGAGAAGAAAGGAUCAGAUUUGACACAUCAAAGAGAAAGACCAGACUCAGAGGAACCAGAGCCAGGGAUUUCCAAAC